UACGGAGGGUGCAAACGUUGCUCGGAAUUAUUGGGCGUAAAGCGCACGUAGGCGGACCAUCAAGUCGGUUGUGAAAUCCCUCGGCUUAACCGAGGACGUGCGGAAGAAACUGCAAGGCUCGAGUCCGGGAGAGGGGGGUGGAAUUCCCAGUGUAGCGGUGAAAUGCGUAGAUAUUGGGAGGAACACCGGUGGCGAAGGCGGCCCCCUGGACCGGUACUGACGCUGAGGCGCGAAAGCGUGGGUAGCAAACGGG
rnacentral:rRNA from 1 species